rnacentral:lncRNA from 1 species
CCAGUCAGCGAUAUCUCCUUCUCUCUCUCCAGCGGCGACAUCUCCGACUUCCCAGUUGGAGACAACUCUUCCCUCUCCCCGGUCGGCAUCGGCGAUAUCUCCUUCUCUCUCUCCAGUCGGUGACAUCUACUCUUUUCAAUUGACGCUUCUCUCCUCCACUUCACUGAUGCUAGAGACAACCCUUCCCCUCCUCAAUCGGCGUCGGCGACAUCUCCUGGAACUCUCUUCAGGUUUACAAUCAAAUUUUUUGAUAAUCAAGAUCUUUUGUGUGUAUGUUCUUGAAAAAUUUUUAGUUGCUAUUAAAGAUUUUUAGAAUUUAGGAACUAUUUAUCUAAUUAUUUGGAUACUGUUAAAAAAUCUAAUUAUUUACUAUUUGAUUAAUGUAAUACUGUUGAUUUUUAGAAUUUAUGGAAUUAAUCUGAUUAUAUGAUUAUAAAUCAUUAUUUGCUGGGUUGCUGAG